ACGGGUGAGUAAUACAUCGGUACGUAUCCUGGAGUGGGGGAUAGCCCGGCGAAAGCCGGAUUAAUACCGCAUACGCUCUGAGGAGGAAAGCGGGGGACCUUCGGGCCUCGCGCUCAAGGGGCGGCCGAUGGCGGAUUAGGUAGUUGGUGGGGUAAAGGCCUACCAAGCCGACGGUCCGUAGCUGGUCUGAGAGGACGACCAGCCACACUGGGACUGAGACACGGCCCAGACUCCUACGGGAGGCAGCAGUGGGGAAUUUUGGACAAUGGGGGCAACCCUGAUCCAGCAAUGCCGCGUGUGUGAAGAAGGCCUUCGGGUUGUAAAGCACUUUUGUCCGGAAAGAAAUCAUCGGGGCCAAUACCCCUGGUGGAUGACGGUACCGGAAGAAUAAGCACCGGCUAACUACGUGCCAGCAGCCGCGGUAAUACGUAGGGUGCGAGCGUUAAUCGGAAUUACUGGGCGUAAAGCGUGCGCAGGCGGUGCUGUAAGACCGAUGUGAAAUCCCCGGGCUUAACCUGGGAACUGCAUUGGUGACUGCAGCGCUGGAGUAUGGCAGAGGGGGGUGGAAUUCCACGU
rnacentral:rRNA from 1 species